GCAAGACCCACCCGUCGAGCAGGGAUGAAAGUCGGCCUUAGUAAGUAGAGGGUUUCUUCAAAUAACAAGGAGCAAGAUCAACUAUUCAAUCAAAUGAUAUUAAGAAUUUUUCCCAUCUCUUCUUGAGAAACAAGUGGGCUAUUUCUUUGCAAAUUUGUGCUAAAUUUCAUAUGUGGUAGUUCCACCAAGAUCUCAUCUUUAGUUGGGGGAAGAAUCUACACGAAUUGGAUCUUUUGAGGAACAUAUCAAGAGAGCAUUGGAUUUGGUUAGACAAUAUGUGGUUGGUAAAUAAGGAUCGGUUUUUUAGGAAGGUACAAAAUGUAUCGUCAAAUAUUCAAUAUGAUUCCACAAGAUCCAGUUUUGUUCAAGUAACGGAUUCUAUCUAAUUGAAAUGAUAUUCUAAUCGAUCCAGAGAUCAUUUCAAUUCCAUGAGUAAUGAGGAUUCAUAAUUUCACACAUUGAUCAAUCAAAAAGAGAUUCAACAACUAAAAGAAAGAUCGAUUCUUUAGGAUCCUUCGUUUCUUCAAACGGAACGAACAGAGAUAGAAUCAGAUCGAUUCCCUAAAUGCCUUUCUGGAUAUUCCUCAAUCUCCUGGCUAUUCAUGGAAUGUGAGAAACAGAUGAAUAAUCAUCUGCUUCUGGAAGAAAUCCUACAAGAUCCAUUCGUUCUUUUUUCUCUGACAGAUGGUCAAAACUUCAUCUUGGUUUGAAUCCUACUGAGAGGUCCACUAGAGAUCAGAAAUUGUUGAAGAAAGAGCAAGAUGUUUCUUUUGUCCUUUCCAGGUGAUCGAAAAAUAAAGAAAUAGUUAACAUAUUCAAGAUAAUUCCAUUUUUACAAAAUACCAUCUCAAUUCAUCAUAUUUCAUCAGAUUCAGGAUGUGAUAUGGUUCCAAAGGAUGAUCUAGAUAGUUCCAAUAAGAUUUCAUUCUUGACCAAAAAUCCAUUUUUUGAUUUAUUUCAUCUAUUCCAUGACCUCAAAAUAACAGGGGUCAUGGUCGGCCAGUGAGACAAUGGGGGAUAAGCUUCAUCGUCGAGAGGGAAACAGCCCCGGAUCACCAGCUAAGGACUCUAAAUGACCGCUUAGUGAUAAAGAAGGCAGGGUGUAGAGACAGCCAGAAGGCUUACCUAGAAAUAGUCACCCUUGAAAGAGGGCGUAAUAACUCACUGAUUGAACACUCUUGCAUCGAAGAUGAACGGGGCUAAGUGAUCUACCGAAGCUGUGGGAUGUAAAAAUGCAUCGGUAGGGGAGCGUUCUGCUUAGUGGGAAGCACCUAUGCAAGCAGUGGCAGACGAAGCGAAAGCGAGAAUGUUGGUUUGAGUAAUGCAAACAUUGGUGAGAAUCCAAUGCCCUGAAAACCUAAGGGUUCCUCCGCAAUGUUCAUCCAUGGAAGGUGAGUCAGGCCCUAAGAUCAGGCCGAAAUGCAUAGUCGACGGAACACAAAUGACUAUUCUUGUACUACCCCUUGUUGGUCCCAAGGGAUGGAGGAGGCUAGUAUCCGAAAGAAGAUUAUUGGUUCCAGGAUGCAAGUUGGCCCUACUUUUUCAGGGUAAAAAGGGGUAGAGAAAAUGCCCCAAGCAAAUGUUUGAGUAUAAGGCACUAUGGUGAUGAAAUAACCCAUGCCAUACUCCAAGGAAAAGCUUGAACGACCUUCAACAAAAGGGUACUUAUACCCAAAACCGACACAGGUGGGUAGGUAGAGAAUAUCUAGGGGCGCGAGAUAACUCUCUCUAAGGAACUUAGAAAAAUAGCCCCAUAACUUCGGGAGAAGGGAUGCCUCCUCACAAAGGGGAUCACAGUGACCAGACCCAGGCGACUAUUUACCAAAAACACAGGUCUCCAUAAAGUUGCAAGAUCAUGUAUAGGAGUUAAUGCGUGCCCAAUGUUGGAAGGUCAAGGAAGUUAGUGACUUGAUGACAGGGGAGCCGGCGACUGAAGCCCCCGUGAACGGCAACCGUAACUAUAACGGUCCUUAGGUAGCAAAAUUCCUUGUCGGGUAAGUUUCGAACCGUACGAAAGGCUUAACAAUAUGGGCAUUGUUUCGGAGAGAGGCUUAGUGAAAUAGACAUGUUUUUUAAGAUGCUCACUUUUCCCGGGGAUUGGCUUUGGGCCUUUCUUGCGGAGCUUAGGUGGAGGGUUGUUUUGUUGGUACCUAAAACGGAUGGUUCUUGGAGAAUGUGUGUUGAUUGUAGGGCUAUAAACAACAUCUGCGGAGCUUAGGUGGAGGGUGAAGAAUGCGUCCUUCUAGAGGGCCCAAGCCAUCAGUGAGAUACUACUAUGGAAGAGCUAGAAUUCUGACCCUGUGUCAGGACCUACGGGCCAAGGGACAGUCUCAGGUAGAUAGUUUCUUUGGGGUGUAGGCCUCCAAAAUUGUAACAGAGGCAUGCAAAGGUUUCCUCAGGGCAAACGGAGAUUGGCCCUCAAGUGCAAAGGCAGAAGGGAGCUUGACUGCAAGACCCACCCGUCGAGCAGGGAUGAAAGUCGGCCUUAGUUAUCCUACGUUGCUGAGUGGAAGGACCGUUGCUCAAUGGAUAAAAGCAGGGAUGAAAGUCGGCCUUAGUAAUCGUACGUUGCUGAGUGGAAGGACCGUUGCUCAAUGGAUAAAAGUUACUCUAUGGAUAACAUGCUGAUCUUCCCCAAUAGCUCACAUCGAUGGGAAAGUUUGGUACCUUGAUGUCAGCUCUUCGCCAUCUGGGGCUGUAGUACGUUCUAAGGGUUAGGCUAUUCGCCCAUUAAAACAGUAUGUGAGUUGGGUUCAGAAUGUCAUGAGAUAGUUCGGUCCAUGGUGUGGGUGUUAGAGCAUUAAGAGGACCUUUCCCUAGUGAGAUGAACCUAGGACGGCCUGCUCCUCAACCCGUAUUAUUAAUUAGGUAAAGGGUACAGAAAGAGAGGGAUUCGAACCCUCGGUAAACAAAAGCCUACAUAACAGUUCCAAUGCUACACCUUCAACUACUUGGCCAUCUCUCCUACAUAAUGAUUAUGGUUCAGAAACCAAGUGAAUAGUGAGUUAUUCAUAUUCAAUUUUUGGAUAUGUAUGUACACUAUUUUUUUCUUAAUAGAAAAACUUUUAUUA
rnacentral:tRNA from 1 species